rnacentral:lncRNA from 1 species
GUCCCAAAGCGGGCAUUUACAAUUAUCAAUAAUGAAAGUAUAUAUGCAACAAACAUUGUACAUUAUAUAACGUGACAGAUAUUAUAAUAGACGAAUGAAAAUAGUAUUAAUAACAAAAAUACAUUAAAAGUUCUUUUUCCCCCUUCCUUCCUUAUUAUCAUUAUUAUUUCUAUGUCCAGCAAUGCACCAAAAAAAACACAUUAAAAGUAAAGUUUGAACAAACUUAAAUUAUUAUUUAUAAAGAUGGAAAUUUGUUUAUCGGUAGGAGACACCAAGGGACGGUGCUGUAGGAUAUACUGUUGAUUGCGAUAGGCAAUAACAGCAAUCCUCCC